rnacentral:rRNA from 1 species
UGGUUAAUAUUCCAAUACUUCUGUGUAAUGCGAUGAGAGGACGGAGAAGGUUAGGUCAGCCUGGCGUUGGUUGUCCAGGUGGAAGACAGUAGGCAUGCAUCUUAGGCAAAUCCGGGGUGCUCUAUGCUGAGAGUCGAUAGCAAGCCAGUUUACUGGCGAAGUGGCCGAUACCAUACUUCCAAGAAAAGUCUCUAAGCUUCAGUUACACAGGAAUCGUACCCGAAACCGACACAGGUGGUCAGGUCGAGUAGACCAAGGCGCUUGAGAGAACUCUGCUGAAGGAACUAGGCAAAAUGGUACCGUAACUUCGGGAGAAGGUACGCUGCUGAUGGUGAUAGGACUUGCUCCUUGAGCUGUCGGCAGCCGCAGAAACCAGGCCGCUGCAACUGUUUAUUAAAAACAUAGCACUCUGCAAACACGAAAGUGGACGUAUAGGGUGUGAUGCCUGCCCGGUGCUGGAAGGUUAAUUGAUGGGGUUAGCGUAAGCGAAGCUCUUGAUCGAAGCCCCAGUAAACGGCGGCCGUAACUAUAACGGUCCUAAGGUAGCGAAAUUCCUUGUCGGGUAAGUUCCGACCUGCACGAAUGGCAUAAUGAUGGCGGCGCUGUCUCCAGCAGAGGCUCAGUGAAAUCGAAAUCGCUGUGAAGAUGCAGUGUACCCGCGGCUAGACGGAAAGACCCCGUGAACCUUUACUGCAGCUUGACACUGAACUUUGACCUUACUUGUGUAGGAUAGGUGGGAGGCUUUGAAGUAGGGACGCCAGUUCCUAUGGAGCCAUCCUUGAAAUACCACCCUGGUAAUGUUGAGGUUCUAACUCUGACCCAUAAUCUGGGUCGAGGACCGUGUCUGGUGGGUAGUUUGACUGGGGCGGUCUCCUCCUAAAGAGUAACGGAGGAGUACGAAGGUGCGCUCAGCGUGGUCGGAAAUCACGCGUAGAGUAUAAAGGCAAAAGCGCGCUUAACUGCGAGACCCACAAGUCGAGCAGGUACGAAAGUAGGUCUUAGUGAUCCGGUGGUUCUGUAUGGAAGGGCCAUCGCUCAACGGAUAAAAGGUACUCUGGGGAUAACAGGCUGAUACCGCCCAAGAGUUCAUAUCGACGGCGGUGUUUGGCACCUCGAUGUCGGCUCAUCUCAUCCUGGGGCUGAAGCAGGUCCCAAGGGUAUGGCUGUUCGCCAUUUAAAGAGGUACGCGAGCUGGGUUUAGAACGUCGUGAGACAGUUCGGUCCCUAUCUACCGUGGGCGCUGGAAAUUUGAGAGGAUCUGCUCCUAGUACGAGAGGACCAGAGUGGACGAACCUCUGGUGUACCGGUUGUGACGCCAGUCGCAUCGCCGGGUAGCUAUGUUCGGAAGGGAUAACCGCUGAAAGCAUCUAAGCGGGAAGCCUACCUCAAGAUAAGAUUUCCCCGUGACUUUAUGUCACCUAAAGAGCCGUUCAAGACCAGGACGUUGAUAGGUUGGAUGUGGAAGCAUAGUGAUAUGUGAAGCUGACCAAUACUAAUUGCUCGUGAGGCUUGACUAU